GUUGGUAUGCAGAUUGUUCACUGAGUCACCUUUACCAAGUUCUUCAUACAUCCCAUAAGAAAGAAAGAUCUUAGGACCAACAUCAUUCUGCAGGGAAUAAUGAGGCAAUUUUGCAGCUACAUUUAGAAGACCCCACUUGGAGUGAAUGAAUUCAAGUAAAGGAAGUUUACUAAUAAACUCAGGUCUCUGGUACAACAAGAACUCUUCUGAAGCACUAGGAGAAGGCCAGUCUUUCAAUUUGAGCAUUUCUGGCCAACCAUUCUCAUGAAUUCUUCCCUCUGAGUAUCCUCUGAUAAAUUGACCAAUCUGAAUAUCAAUCUCACUCCCAUCAAAACAAUCAAUGGCCUUCACAGUUCUGUUAUCA
rnacentral:misc_RNA from 1 species